UGUGUACUCCCUCCGUUCCAAAAUACUUGACUUUCAUUUGUCCAGAAAUGGAUGUACCUAUAUACUAAAACAUGUCUGGAUACAUCUAUAUUUUGACAAAUAGAAGGCAUGUAUUGUGGAACAGAGGGAGUAGAAU
rfam:Triticum aestivum genome assembly, contig: Triticum_aestivum_CS42_TGACv1_scaffold_501037_6BL